UGCAAUUUAGAGGAAAUUGCAACUUUUGGCCCAAAGGUUUGAAUAAUUAAAUUCGAACCUAUAGUUUUUUUUAAUAUAAUUUUGGGACCACAAUCCCAUUUUUAUAUUAUUUUUCUCUCUUCCUCUCACGUUGCUCGGCGUUUUCUCGCAAGGGGGGAUUAUUUUCUUUUUCUUCAGAUUAUAUUGACAAAGAUAGUGGUGAAAAAGGAGUUGUGAAGGGGAACUUGUUAUUCAAGACACAAGGAGCGAGUCCGGCCGAGAAAGCACCAGAGGUGUAGCUAUGGUGUAUGAGACACCAUCUUUUACGUUGCCUCUUAUUUUAGAUUAUAC